rnacentral:rRNA from 1 species
GUGAGGAAUAUUGGUCAAUGGGCGAGAGCCUGAACCAGCCAAGUCGCGUGAAGGAAGAAGGAUCUAUGGUUCGUAAACUUCUUUUGCAGGGGAAUAAAGUGCAGGACGUGUCCUGUUUUGUAUGUACCCUGAGAAUAAGGAUCGGCUAACUCCGUGCCAGCAGCCGCGGUAAUACGGAGGAUCCGAGCGUUAUCCGGAUUUAUUGGGUUUAAAGGGGGCGUAGGUGGUUUGAUAAGUCAGCGGUGAAAGUUUGCAGCUUAACUGUAAAAAUGCCGUUGAAACUGUCGGACUUGAGUGUAAAUGAGGUAGGCGGAAUGCGUGGUGUAGCGGUGAAAUGCAUAGAUAUCACGCAGAACUCCGAUUGCGAAGGCAGCUUACUAAGCUACAACUGACACUGAAGCACGAAAGCGUGGGGAUCAAACAGGAUUAGAAACCCUUGUAGUCC